rnacentral:rRNA from 1 species
GAUGAACGCUGGCGGCGUGCCUAAUACAUGCAAGUCGAGCGAACGGACGAGAAGCUUGCUUCUCUGAUGUUAGCGGCGGACGGGUGAGUAACACGUGGAUAACCUACCUAUAAGACUGGGAUAACUUCGGGAAACCGGAGCUAAUACCGGAUAAUAUUUUGAACCGCAUGGUUCAAAAGUGAAAGACGGUCUUGCUGUCACUUAUAGAUGGAUCCGCGCUGCAUUAGCUAGUUGGUAAGGUAACGGCUUACCAAGGCAACGAUGCAUAGCCGACCUGAGAGGGUGAUCGGCCACACUGGAACUGAGACACGGUCCAGACUCCUACGGGAGGCAGCAGUAGGGAAUCUUCCGCAAUGGGCGAAAGCCUGACGGAGCAACGCCGCGUGAGUGAUGAAGGUCUUCGGAUCGUAAAACUCUGUUAUUAGGGAAGAACAUAUGUGUAAGUAACUGUGCACAUCUUGACGGUACCUAAUCAGAAAGCCACGGCUAACUACGUGCCAGCAGCCGCGGUAAUACGUAGGUGGCAAGCGUUAUCCGGAAUUAUUGGGCGUAAAGCGCGCGUAGGCGGUUUUUUAAGUCUGAUGUGAAAGCCCACAGCUCAACCGUGGAGGGUCAUUGGAAACUGGAAAACUUGAGUGCAGAAGAGGAAAGUGGAAUUCCAUGUGUAGCGGUGAAAUGCGCAGAGAUAUGGAGGAACACCAGUGGCGAAGGCGACUUUCUGGUCUGUAACUGACGCUGAUGUGCGAAAGCGUGGGGAUCAAACAGGAUUAGAUACCCUGGUAGUCCACGCCGUAAACGAUGAGUGCUAAGUGUUAGGGGGUUUCCGCCCCUUAGUGCUGCAGCUAACGCAUUAAGCACUCCGCCUGGGGAGUACGACCGCAAGGUUGAAACUCAAAGGAAUUGACGGGGACCCGCACAAGCGGUGGAGCAUGUGGUUUAAUUCGAAGCAACGCGAAGAACCUUACCAAAUCUUGACAUCCUUUGACAACUCUAGAGAUAGAGCUUUCCCCUUCGGGGGACAAAGUGACAGGUGGUGCAUGGUUGUCGUCAGCUCGUGUCGUGAGAUGUUGGGUUAAGUCCCGCAACGAGCGCAACCCUUAAGCUUAGUUGCCAUCAUUAAGUUGGGCACUCUAAGUUGACUGACGGUGACAAACCGGAGGAAGGUGGGGAUGACGUCAAAUCAUCAUGCCCCUUAUGAUUUGGGCUACACACGUGCUACAAUGGACAAUACAAAGGGCAGCGAAACCGCGAGGUCAAGCAAAUCCCAUAAAGUUGUUCUCAGUUCGGAUUGUAGUCUGCAACUCGACUACAUGAAGCUGGAAUCGCUAGUAAUCGUAGAUCAGCAUGCUACGGUGAAUACGUUCCCGGGUCU